GGUCAACAACGUGUUUAAAUGUGAAGUGGUAUGGUCCCAAAUUUUGUACCAGGUUUGGCCGCGAGAGACCAUCACCCAGCUCGUUACCCCUAUCGACAAGGAUUUACCUUCGUUCGUGCGGGCAUUGCGCGAACCCAGUUUGCUUUCCCACUCGGGAAAUGAUGAGAAGACUUACCUUGUGUAUGAAAACGGGAGUUUUCGUCACAACAAGGGAUGCGAUAAUCACUACGGUUACCGCACAUAGGGAUGCGGCCCAAAACCGCAUCCUAUUGUCUACACAAGUGGAACUGACACUUUGACUUAAGUGACCAAGCUAGCAAGUGGUUUGUCCGGGCACUGACAGCGGUCAGCUGGCAGACGGACUGACAGCUGCAGCAAGACGUGGCAUCACCUCUGGAUGCAUCCAACGCUUCCGUGACCUGCGCUUCUAACACACCUACAAAAGGCUACGCGUUGUCAGUAUAGCCAAUUGGCUAUCCUCCUUCACUCUUCAACUAUAAAUACUUAUCCCGGACCAAGUUUGAGAUAACGCUAAUCUGUUCUCACACACAUACUACUCAAACACACACUUUGCUCUUAAGCAAAUACUGAUUCUCACGCCGGAGAGUGGUAACAAGAAGCACCCACAUCUCAUCCCUUGUUACGAGUCACGGUGUGUUUCCUUAUGCAGGAGACAUGUUAGAGGACGACCCGACCAUUGAUCGAGGAAAAAAGGGAUUAACCAUACUCGACGGGACUAGUGAAUUAACCCUCUAGUUAACCAUUGUUUCAUCAAAAUGUAUAGCAUUUUUUAACAUAACUAAUUAAUAAAAAUAAUUGUGAUAAAGGAUGGCAAGAGACAACUUAACCAAAAUCCGACUAUAAAACAAAUUAGCUGUAUUAACUUAUUUAUGACAUGAACGCAUAAGGUUCCAAUCUAACCCGUUAAUGAUAGAUAACUAG
rnacentral:lncRNA from 1 species